GACGAACGCUGGCGGUGUGCUUAACACAUGCAAGUCGAACGGUAAGGCCCUUUCGGGGGUACACGAGUGGCGAACGGGUGAGUAACACGUGAGUAACCUGCCCUCAUCUCUGGGAUAACAGUCGGAAACGGUUGCUAAUACUGGAUAUGAGCUUGCAAGGCAUCUUGUGGGUUGGAAAGAUUUUUUUGGUUGGGGAUGGACUCGCGGCCUAUCAGCUUGUUGGUGAGGUAGUGGCUCACCAAGGCUUCGACGGGUAGCCGGCCUGAGAGGGCGACCGGCCACAUUGGGACUGAGAGACGGCCCAAACGCCGACGGGAGGCAGCAGGGGGGAAUAUUGCACAAGGGACGGAAGUCUGAUGCAGCAACGCCGCGGGCGGGAUGACGGCCUUCGGGUUGUAGACCGCUUGCAAUUGUGACGAAGCUUUUUGUGACGGUAGCAGUAGAAGAAGCACCGGCUAACUACGUG
rnacentral:rRNA from 1 species